CGGACCCUAACAGUCUAAGUAUAAGCAUUAUACCGUGAAACUGCGAAUGGCUCAUUAAAUCAGUUAUCGUUUAUUUGAUAGUACCUUACUACUUGGAUAACCGUGGUAAUUCUAGAGCUAAUACAUGCUAAAAACCCCGACUUCGGGAGGGGUGUAUUUAUUAGAUAAAAAACCAAUGCCCUUCGGGGCUCCUUGGUGAUUCAUAAUAACUUAACGGAUCGCAUGGCCUUGCGCCGGCGACGGUUCAUUCAAAUUUCUGCCCUAUCAACUUUCGAUGGUAAGGUAUUGGCUUACCAUGGUUUCAACGGGUAACGGGGAAUUAGGGUUCGACUCCGGAGAGGGAGCCUGAGAAACGGCUACCACAUCCAAGGAAGGCAGCAGGCGCGCAAAUUACCCAAUCCCGACUCGGGGAGGUAGUGACAAUAAAUACUGAUACAGGGCACUUUCGUGUCUUGUAAUUGGAAUGAGUACAAUUUAAACCCCUUAACGAGGAACAAUUGGAGGGCAAGUCUGGUGCCAGCAGCCGCGGUAAUUCCAGCUCCAAUAGCGUAUAUUAAAGUUGUUGCAGUUAAAAAGCUCGUAGUUGAACCUUGGGCCUGGCUGGCCGGUCCGCCUCACCGCGUGUACUGGUCCGGCCGGGCCUUUCCUUCUGGAGAACUGCAUGCCCUUUACUGGGUGUGUUAGGGAACCAGGACUUUUACUUUGAAAAAAUUAGAGUGUUCAAAGCAGGCCUUUGCUCGAAUACGUUAGCAUGGAAUAAUAGAAUAGGACGUGUGGUCCUAUUUUGUUGGUUUCUAGGACCGCCGUAAUGAUUAAUAGGGAUAGUCGGGGGCAUCAGUAUUCAAUUGUCAGAGGUGAAAUUCUUGGAUUUAUUGAAGACUAACUACUGCGAAAGCAUUUGCCAAGGAUGUUUUCAUUAAUCAGUGAACGAAAGUUAGGGGAUCGAAGACGAUCAGAUACCGUCGUAGUCUUAACCGUAAACUAUGCCGACUAGGGAUCGGGCGAUGUUAUUAUUUUUGACUCGCUCGGCACCUUACGAGAAAUCAAAGU
rnacentral:rRNA from 1 species